GUUGGCUCAGUGGUAGAGUGCUUGCCUUGCAUGCAUGAAGCCCUGGGUUCGAUUCCUCAAC
rnacentral:tRNA from 1 species